UCUUUAUCUCUCCGUUUUCUCUCUUCCCCGUAUUUAUCUCCAACAACCCUUUCUCUCUCAAAUCUCUCUCUUGAUAAAAAGGAAAUCAUCAUCUUUAUCCAAUCUGAAGCAAAAAACCAUCGCCUUGCGGCAUGGGUCCAGUCGACCAACAUCUUGGUGCCUUAAAUUUGGUUUCCUCAUCUUGAUCGGCCACACUACAUGGCAAUCCUGCUGUAUAUGCUGCAGUUUUUUUCUUCCUUGGACCUCUACUCUGUUCGCCACAAAUCUCGAUGAUCUCAGGUAACCAUUCUCU
rnacentral:lncRNA from 1 species